rnacentral:rRNA from 1 species
UCAGUUGAAAAUGGCGCCGAUGAACUGUGUGUAGGGGUGAAAGGCCAAUCAAACUUCGUGAUAGCUGGUUCUCUCCGAAAUGCAUUUAGGUGCAGCGUUACGUGUUUCUUACCGGAGGUAGAGCUACCGAUAGGACUAGGGGGAGUCACAUCCUACCAAAUCCUGACGAACUCCGAAUGCCGGCGUAUAUACACAGGAGUGAGGGCAUGGGUGCUAAGGUCCGUGUCCGAGAGGGAAAGAACCCAGACUCACAGCUAAGGUCCCCAAAUCUAUGCUAAGUUGAACAAAGGAGGUCCAGUUGCUUAGACAGCCAGGAAGUUAGCUUGGAAGCAGCUAUCUUUUAAAGAGUGCGUAACAGCUCACUGGUCGAGCGACAGGGCAUCGAUAAUAAACGGGCAUCAAGUGUAGUACCGAAGCUUGAGAUAGUAGUAAUACUGUGGUAGGGGAGCAUUCUCUGUGCAGCGAAGGUGUGUGGUAACGCAUGCUGGAGCGCAGAGAAAAGCAAAUGUAGGCAUAAGUAACGAUAAGGCAGGUGAGAAACCUGCCCACCGAAAGACUAAGGUUUCCUGUAUCAACGAUAAUCGGAUCAGGGUUAGUCGGGGCCUAAGAUUGAAGCGAGAGCGAAGAUCGAUGGACAGCUGGUUAAUAUUCCAGCACUUUCUAUGGGAGCGAUGUCGUGACGGGGCAGAGAAUUACCCGCGCACUGACGGAAUAGUGCGUUGAAGGGCGUAAGCGUUGAUGGUGUAGGCAAAUCCGCACCUGAGCUGAACCUGAUAGUACCCAAGGCCUUCGGGCGGCGGGAUAGUGGUAAAACGAGCCUCCAAGAAAAACGGCUAAGCAUAUGUCAUAGAAACCCGUACCGUAAACCGACACAGGUAGUCGAGGAGAGAAUCCUCAGGUGCUCGAGUGAGUCACGGCCAAGGAACUCGGCAAAAUAACCCUGUAACUUCGGGAGAAGGGGAGCCCCGCCCAUGGCGGGGUCGCAGAGAAAUGGCCCAGGCGACUGUUUACCAAAAACACAUGGCUUUGCGAAAUCGAAAGAUGAAGUAUAAGGCCUGACACCUGCCCGGUGCCGGAAGGUUAAGAGGGGGGCUUAGGGGUAACCCGAAGGUCUGAAUUGAAGCCCCGGUAAACGGCGGCCGUAACUAUAACGGUCCUAAGGUAGCGAAAUUCCUUGUCGGGUAAGUUCCGACCUGCACGAAUGGUGUAACGAUCUGGGCGCUGUCUCAGCCGUGAGCUCGGUGAAAUUGUAGUAGCGGUGAAGAUGCCGCUUACCCGCAACGGGACGAAAAGACCCCGUGCACCUUUACUAUAGCUUUACAUUGACUUCGGAUAAACGAUGUGUAGGAUAGGUGGGAGGCUUUGAGCCGGUGUCGCCAGGCAUCGGGGAGCCAACGUUGAAAUACCACCCUUUGUUUAUCUGGAGCCUAAUGGAUUAGAUCCAGACAGUGUAUGGUGGGUAGUUUGACUGGGGUGGUCGCCUCCAAAAGAGUAUCGGAGGCUUUCAAAGGUACCCUCAGUACGCUUGGUAACCGUACGUGGAGUGCAAUCGCACAAGGGUCCGAGUAGUGGUGUUUCUGCUUUUUGCUCUAGAGCUGUAACUUUGCAUGUCAUUAGGACGCUGUCACGCCAUUUUGGUAGUUUUUUACUUGCCUCAUACAUGAUGGCUUUACCGC